UACGUAGGGUGCAAGCGUUUAAUCGGAAUUACUGGGCGUAAAGCGUGCGCAGGCGGUUAUGUAAGACAGGUGUGAAAUCCCCGGGCUUAACCUGGGAACUGCAUUUGUGACUGCAUAGCUAGAGUACGGUAGAGGGGGAUGGAAUUCCGCGUGUAGCAGUGAAAUGCGUAGAUAUGCGGAGGAACACCGAUGGCGAAGGCAAUCCCCUGGACCUGUACUGACGCUCAUGCACGAAAGCGUGGGGAGCAAACAGG
rnacentral:rRNA from 1 species